CAAAGAGCUUAUACGCAUCGGAUCCCAAUUCGUUGGGUACCGUGAGUAUGCCAGCAGAACUGAAGAGAAACUUGCAGAGGCCAACAAGCUUGCCGACACUCUUGCUCAAAAACUGGAGCAAAGUGAAGCGGCCCGCAAGAAAGCCAAACUUGUUGCUAGCGAAGCCAAAGCAGAGGCUAAUGAAGCCAAGGCAAAAGCUGCUAGUGUCGAGGAACUGCAGAAGAGACUUGAGGAUACUGAAACUGCCUUAAACGAGCACAAAGCCGCACAGGCUACUCGUGAAAAGGGGAUCCUCAAGCGCCUGAAUUCGCAAAAUCGGCGCUUCCAAGGCCAAACAAACCAAGAGUUUGAUCUGGAGAAUCCCGACAAUGAUCCUCUCCUUGACGCACUUUCUUAUUUGGAGUUUCAUGGAUCCGAAAUUCGUGAAGGCGUGGUGAAUGCUGACGCAGGAUUGUCGAAGCUAUUCCCCUACUUCUUCCCGAAGAAAGAGGAGCCCAAGACUUUCCUUGCCCUUGCCCAGAGCUUCAAUCCAUCAG